CUAGGACUCACUCAUCGACUUCGUCUUCUCUGUUUUCUCUUCAUCACAACUCCGUUACAGAGUCUCAUCUGCUCUCAAUCAAUGGUGUUGUUCAAUACACUUUUCAUGGAUUUGUUUCGCCUCCCUCUCUUUCUCCUUCUUUAUAAACCACUUCGUAUUUACUUGCUUCUUUUCAAUCCCGAAAACUCCUCUGAAAAAGUUCAAACAAUGACGAUGAAACCAACCUCAAAUGAAUUUUUAUCAGUAAAAGCAGAUGGAUCGCUGGUUGUGCGGCUGUGCGAUUGUUUGCGCGAAAAUAUUGAUUUUCUUUCCUGCGUUUGCUGAUUCCUGGCACAAUUCAUUUUCAUCCUUAGGAUGAGUCCCCUGUUCGUUUUAUCAACGCUGCGACAAGCCGCGGCAGCUCAAAAUCAUCUCUUCAGUUGCGGCAAACACGUGACUCGCCGAUUUGUAGGCCGUUCGUUGUAGAUCCACCAUUGAAGUGUGUCUCUUCAGAUUCGGGAAUCUUGGAAUGUGAAGAAAUCCAGUGAAUUUAUGGAAAAUUAAUUCCGUUACUUUGUCGAAGACAAAAAGAAAGGAAGGGAGGGAGCACAAGGAGAGUGUUGUUAAUUGAAACAGAGAGGCUGUCAAGAAAUAUAAUUCUGAAUAUGCUUUCUCUUUUGAAAACAUGAGAAAUAUCAAAUUCAAGGAGUUCAGACAACAAUAUAGGCACAAUGGAAGGCUCAAACAAAGUGAUGCAGGUUGUCUUGGUCAUUCUGCUUCUGAUGAAAUCCGUCAUGCCAUCUUUAGAGCCUCAAGAUAUGCCAAAUGAAGAGGUUGAAAAGGACUUAUGCUGUAUCCAUCUCUCUCUUGGCUUUCCCGUAUCUUCAAAAUUCUUCUUUUGGUUAUUAUCGCAGCUUAUUUAACGCGACAGUUUAUUUAACGCGAUGACUUAUUUAACGCUUCUGAAAGUUCAGAAUUUUCAAGGACUAGAAGCACUGCAGUAGAAACGGCUUGUUGGCUUUUCCUGAUACUACUUCUGGAACACACUUCUAUUUUGACAAUGAAUGUCUCACCGGCCAGAGUUUUCUGCAGCGUAAGAGAUUCCAUACUAACUGUUGUUUAUGAAAUCUGAUACACCCUGUUCUCCAAAGACGGUUUAAUUUUUUUUAGUAGUUUACCUGGAUCUGAUGAUGGUUAGAGCUUCACAUCUUCCAAGUAUGGAGAUGUGCAAAAAAUUGAAACAGUUACUCUUGCUGAACUGAACAAUUACGUACUGAACUCUCCACCGCAGGUUCGUCCACUUAGUUCGUUUUAUAGCUAUAUGUUUUGAUUCUCUGAAAUCAUCAAGACAGUCCGGUGGACCCAACAGCACAAGCUCCUCAAACUUCUGCUCCCAAGAAAGUUCUGAUGCCCAAGAAGACCCAUUGCAUUUAAGAGAUCCAACGCAGGAGUUUAUGUGUUAUAAACAGAGGUUGCGGUCCCAUUAGCUAUCUAGAAUUUUAAGUAUGAGUCCAAUAAUAAAGUAGUACUUUCCGUUCUCACCGAACCCAGCGUAAUCUGGUUAUUUUCUUAUUACGGUUUAGUUUUGGUUUCAAAUUUUUUGUUUCAAUGGUAUCAAUUUUUUUUACAGCCGAAGGUAUAAAUCUUAAGACUUUAAAAUGAAGAUAAGUGUACCUCAUGUUGUAAGAUGAAUUAUUAAACAGCACAAUUAACAGACA